rnacentral:snRNA from 1 species
GGAUGUGAGGGCGAUCUGGCUGCGACAUCUGUCACCCCACUGAUCGCCAGGGUUGAUUCGGCUGAUCUGGCUGGCUAGGCGGGUGUCCCCUUCCUCCCUCACCGCUCCAUGUGCGUCCCUCCCGAAGCUGCGCGCUCGGUUGAAGAGGACGACCAUCCCCGAUAGAGGAGGACCGUUCUUUGGUCAAGGGUAUACGAGUAGCUGCGCUCCCCUGCUAGAACCUCCAAACAAGCUCUCAAAGAAAACUGUUGAGAAACAAGGGGAAAGGUGUCAGAAUAAAAAUAAAGACAUGUUGGGCAUGUGGCCCAUGCCU